rnacentral:rRNA from 1 species
CCUCCGGGAGGCUGCAGUGGGGAAUAUUGGACAAUGGGGGGAACCCUGAUCCAGCCAUGCCGCGUGUGUGAAGAAGGCCCUCGGGUUGUAAAGCACUUUCAGUGAGGAAGAACGCCUGGUGGUUAAUACCCAUCAGGAAAGACAUCACUCACAGAAGAAGCACCGGCUAACUCCGUGCCAGCAGCCGCGGUAAUACGGAGGGUGCGAGCGUUAAUCGGAAUUACUGGGCGUAAAGCGCGCGUAGGUGGCUUGAUAAGCCGGUUGUGAAAGCCCCGGGCUCAACCUGGGAACGGCAUCCGGAACUGUCAAGCUAGAGUGCAGGAGAGGAAGGUAGAAUUCCCGGUGUAGCGGUGAAAUGCGUAGAGAUCGGGAGGAAUACCAGUGGCGAAGGCGGCCUUCUGGACUGACACUGACACUGAGGUGCGAAAGCGUGGGUAGCAAACAGGAUUAGAUACCCGAGUAGUC